GUUCCUCCGGCUGCCGCGCCGGCAGCGCCCCGGCCGCCCGGCGGGAGCCAUCCUCGUCCUCAUCCUCCUCCCCCCGCGCCCCCCCGUUGUCCCGGCGGAGGCGGCGGGGCCCCGUCGCGGCCCGGCCCCGUCGCAGCCCCCGCAGGACGAUGAGCGCGGCCGCCGCCGCCCCCAGCACCACCGCGGGCCAGAGCAGGGCCGGCAGCCGGGCCGCCAGCCCCAGCUCCCCCGCGCCCAGCGCCAGCCGCACCGCCGGGCCCAGCAUGGCCGACCCCGGGCCGCCCCUCCCCGGGCUGGGGAGGGGGGAUGGAUGCUGCGCUCCGCUCCGCCGCGCACGGAAAGUUGGUGCCGGAGCCGCGCUGGUCUCGGCGGGCGGCAGCGGAAGGAGGGCCCUUGUGCACUAGUGACUUUCCAUGGACACAUGUGAAGCUGAUAAACUACUGAGCUUGCUUUGCCCAUCGUUGAGGAAACUGAGGAGCAUGCUAGCUGCACGCCUGGCAAAGCAUGACAGUAACCAGUAAUGAGAGAGGAGUUUUCCGUCUGUUCAGGCUAUUCAGUUCUUUGCACGGCUGCCCACGUGGCCAGUACAUGGAAUUGGUGUUAAUGAAUUGCAGAUCUUCAGCGUUCCAUUCUUAACUGAUUCCCCUAGGAGAAGAAAUGGAGUCAAAUAAGCACGCAAUGGUAAUGCAGUCAAAGAAGAACCAUGGCCUGGGUUUCUUUCACUAAUAAAAAGUUGUGCAAUCUUCAAUUUCCCUUUCAUUUUCAUAAAGAACAUACUGGAAACAUCUAUUCAGCCAAAGAUGUGAAAUUAAACAAAGAAACAAAAACAUCUUGAAAGGAGGAAAGAAGGCACUUUCCCAGC